GGUAGAAUGGCUGAGAUUUUAGGCGAUAGAUUGUAAAUCUAUUUAGGAGGGCUACCUCUUCUACCA
rnacentral:tRNA from 1 species